rnacentral:rRNA from 1 species
CGGGGAGGUAGUGACGAAAAAUAACGAUACGGGACUCAUCCGAGGCCCCGUAAUCGGAAUGAGUACACUUUAAAUCCUUUAACAAGGAUCCAUUGGAGGGCAAGUCUGGUGCCAGCAGCCGCGGUAAUUCCAGCUCCAAUAGCGUAUAUUAAAGUUGUUGCGGUUAAAAAGCUCGUAGUUGAAUCUGUGUGUCACAGUGUCGGUUCACCGCUCGCGGUGUUUAACUGGCAUUAUGUGGUACGUCCUACCGGUGGUCUUAGCCCUUCGGGGCGGUCCAACUCAAUAUCCCAUCGCGGUGCUCUUUACUGAGUGUCGAGGUGGGCCGGUACGUUUACCUUGAACAAAUUAAAGUGCUCAAAGCAGGCUACAUUCGCCUGAAUACUGUGUGCAUGGAAUAAUGAAAUAGGACCUCGGUUCUAUUUUGUUGGUUUUAAGAACCCCGAGGUAAUGAUUAAGAGGGACAGAUGGGGGCAUUCGUAUUGCGACGUUAGAGGUGAAAUUCUUGGAUCGUCGCAAGACGGACAGAAGCGAAAGCAUUUGCCAAAAAUGUUUUCAUUAAUCAAGAACGAAAGUUAGAGGUUCGAAGGCGAUCAGAUACCGCCCUAGUUCUAACCAUAAACGAUGCCAGCUAGCGAUCCGCCGAUGUUCCUCCGAUGACUCGACGGGCAGCUUCCGGGAAACCAAAGCUUUUGGGUUCCGGGGGAAGUAUGGUUGCAAAGCUGAAACUUAAAGGAAUUGACGGAAGGGCACCACCAGGAG